ACGGAGGAUGCGAGCGUUAUCCGGAUUUAUUGGGUUUAAAGGGUGCGUAGGCGGUGCCUUAAGUCAGCGGUCAAAGCCCGGGGCUCAACCCCGGCCAGCCGUUGAAACUGGGGUGCUGGAGAGGAAGAGAGGCAGGCGGAAUUCGCGGUGUAGCGGUGAAAUGCUUAGAUAUCGCGAAGAACUCCGAUUGCGAAGGCAGCCUGCCGGCUUCUGUCUGACGCUGAGGCACGAAAGCGUGGGGAUCGAACAGGAUUAGAUACCCUGGUAGUCCACGCAGUAAACGAUGAGCACUGGCUGUCCGGCCCGACUGGGGGCUGGGUGGCGUAGCGAAAGCGUUAAGUGCUCCACCUGGGGAGUACGCCGGCAACGGUG
rnacentral:rRNA from 1 species